rnacentral:rRNA from 1 species
UACGGGGGGAGCAAGCGUUGUUCGGAUUUACUGGGCGUAAAGGGCGCGUAGGCGGUCGUGACAAGUCACUUGUGAAAUCUCCGGGCUUAACUCGGAGCGGCCAAGUGAUACUGUCGUGCUAGAGUGCGGAAGGGGCUACUGGAAUUCUCGGUGUAGCGGUGAAAUGCGUAGAUAUCGAGAGGAACACCUGCGGCGAAGGCGGGUAGCUGGGCCGACACUGACGCUGAGGCGCGAAAGCCAGGGGAGCGAACGGG